GACGAACGCUGUGCGGCGUGCUUAACACAUGCAAGUCGAACGAACUCGACCUUCGGGUCAUAUGAGUGAGUGGCGAACGGGUGAGUAACACGUGAGAAACCUGCCCCGAAGUUUGGAAUAACUCAAGGAAACUCGAGCUAAUACCAAAUACCCUUGGAGAAUCGAAUGGUUCAUCAAGGAAAGGUUUACCGCUUUGGGAGGGUCUCGCGGCCUAUCAGCUUGUUGGUGAGGUAAUGGCUCACCAAGGCAUAGACGGGUAGCUGGUCUGAGAGGACGAUAGCCACACUGGGACUGAGACACGGCCCAGACUCCUACGGGAGGCAGCAGUGGGGAAUAUUGCACAAUGGGCGAAAGCCUGAUGCAGCGACGCCGCGUGAGGGAUGAAGGCCUUAGGGUCGUAAACCUCUUUCAGUAGGGACGAAAAUGACGGUACCUACAGAAGAAGUCCCGGCCAACUACG
rnacentral:rRNA from 1 species